CCUACGGGAGGCAGCAGUAGGGAAUAUUGGUCAAUGGGCGAAAGCCUGAACCAGCAACGCCGCGUGCGCGAUGAAGGCCUUCGGGUCGUAAAGCGCUUUUGGGAGGGAUGAAAAUGACAGUACCUCCCGAAUAAGGAUCGGCUAACUACGUGCCAGCAGCCGCGGUAAGACGUAGGAUCCAAGCGUUAUCCGGAAUUACUGGGCGUAAAGGGCGUGUAGGAGGUUGGGCAAGUCGGCCAUGAAAGCUCCCGGCUCAACUGGGAGAGGCUGGUCGAUACUGCCUGGCUAGAGGGCAAGAGAGGGAGGUGGAAUUCCCGGUGUAGUGGUGAAAUGCGUAGAUAUCGGGAGGAACACCAGUGGCGAAGGCGGCCUCCUGGCUUGUACCUGACUCCGAAACGCGAAAGCAUGGGUAGCAAACAGGAUUAGAAACCCUGGUAGUCCAUGCCAUAAACGAUGUCAACUGGGUGUCGGCGAAGUAAAAUUUGUCGGUGCCGAAGCUAACGCGUUAAGUUGACCGCCUGAGGACUACGAUCGCAAGAUUAAACUAAAGGAAUUGACG
rnacentral:rRNA from 1 species